rnacentral:rRNA from 1 species
CGCGGGCUAUCAUGCAAGUCGAGCGGAAGAUGGGAGCUUGCUCCCUGAUGUUAGCGGCGGACGGGUGAGUAACACGUGGGUAACCUGCCUGUAAGACUGGGAUAACUCCGGGAAACCGGGGCUAAUACCGGAUGCUUGUUUGAACCGCAUGGUUCAAACAUAAAAGGUGGCUUCGGCUACCACUUACAGAUGGACCCGCGGCGCAUUAGCUAGUUGGUGAGGUAAUGGCUCACCAAGGCGACGAUGCGUAGCCGACCUGAGAGGGUGAUCGGCCACACUGGGACUGAGACACGGCCCAGACUCCUACGGGAGGCAGCAGUAGGGAAUCUUCCGCAAUGGACGAAAGUCUGACGGAGCAACGCCGCGUGAGUGAUGAAGGUUUUCGGAUCGUAAAGCUCUGUUGUUAGGGAAGAACAAGUACCGUUCGAAUAGGGCGGUACCUUGACGGUACCUAACCAGAAAGCCACGGCUAACUACGUGCCAGCAGCCGCGGUAAUACGUAGGUGGCAAGCGUUGUCCGGAAUUAUUGGGCGUAAAGGGCUCGCAGGCGGUUUCUUAAGUCUGAUGUGAAAGCCCCCGGCUCAACCGGGGAGGGUCAUUGGAAACUGGGGAACUUGAGUGCAGAAGAGGAGAGUGGAAUUCCACGUGUAGCGGUGAAAUGCGUAGAGAUGUGGAGGAACACCAGUGGCGAAGGCGACUCUCUGGUCUGUAACUGACGCUGAGGAGCGAAAGCGUGGGGAGCGAACAGGAUUAGAUACCCUGGUAGUCCACGCCGUAAACGAUGAGUGCUAAGUGUUAGGGGGUUUCCGCCCCUUAGUGCUGCAGCUAACGCAUUAAGCACUCCGCCUGGGGAGUACGGUCGCAAGACUGAAACUCAAGGAAUUGACGGGGGCCCGCACAAGCGGUGGAGCAUGUGGGUUUAAUUUCGAAGCAACGCGAAGAACCUUACCAGGUCUGACAUCCUCUGACAUCCUAGAGAUAGGACGUCCCCUUCGGGGCAGAGUGACAGGUGGUGCAUGGUUGUCGUCAC